GACGAACGCUGGCGGCGUGCCUAAUACAUGCAAGUAGAACGCUGAAGGAGGAGCUUGCUUCUCCGGAUGAGUUGCGAACGGGUGAGUAACGCGUAGGUAACCUGCCUGGUAGCGGGGGAUAACUAUUGGAAACGAUAGCUAAUACCGCAUAACAGUAGAUAUUGCAUGAUAUCUGCUUGAAAGGUGCAAUUGCAUCACUACCAGAUGGACCUGCGUUGUAUUAGCUAGUUGGUGGGGUAACGGCUCACCAAGGCGACGAUACAUAGCCGACCUGAGAGGGUGAUCGGCCACACUGGGACUGAGACACGGCCCAGACUCCUACGGGAGGCAGCAGUAGGGAAUCUUCGGCAAUGGACGGAAGUCUGACCGAGCAACGCCGCGUGAGUGAAGAAGGUUUUCGGAUCGUAAAGCUCUGUUGUAAGAGAAGAACGAGUGUGAGAGUGGAAAGUUCACACUGUGACGGUAUCUUACCAGAAAGGGACGGCUAACUACGUGCCAGCAGCCGCGGUAAUACGUAGGUCCCGAGCGUUGUCCGGAUUUAUUGGGCGUAAAGCGAGCGCAGGCGGUUAGAUAAGUCUGAAGUUAAAGGCUGUGGCUUAACCGUAGUACGCUUUGGAAACUGUUUAACUUGAGUGCAAGAGGGGAGAGUGGAAUUCCAUGUGUAGCGGUGAAAUGCGUAGAUAUAUGGAGGAACACCGGUGGCGAAAGCUGGCUCUCUGCUUUGUUACUGACGCUGAGGCCUCGAAAGGGUGGGAGCAAACAGUUUUAUAUGCCGUAUGAGUCCAGGGCGAAUCCUGGGGGAUUUUGGCUUAUCUUUGUGUCUGACUUGUGGGGGGGCCCGGUAGCUUUUGUUUUUCCCUUUUGUGUGCGUUAUUAGUUGCUUUUGUGUGUGGUGUGAUGUCUCA
rnacentral:rRNA from 1 species